rnacentral:lncRNA from 1 species
CUCCACAUGUAACUGUUUCCUGUUCAGUCGGUAAGGCCCUCUGUUUUAAUUAUCAAGAACUAGGAGGAAUAAUUUGCCAUGUCUCCCAUGCUUCAGCAUCUCACUAAAGACCACUGGCAUCACCUUCUGUGUGUGUCUGGAAUAAGGGUUAGCGCCAGGCUAGCCUAGCUAGCGCUGAGCAAUGAGCAUUACCACUAAUGAAUUGAAUUGUAGGGGACAAUUGUGUGUGAAAAGCACUGAAUUGACAAAGACAGUCAGUCAAGGGGUUUCGCUAAGGAUGAAAUUAAAAUCUGUGCUGCGGCGGGCGAAUAAGGCUUAUGCAGCUUGCUGCUUUAGUGGGAAUGCAUUAAUACCGGAGGAGAGGAGAGAAGGAGCGUUUGCAUUUGCUUUGCAAUAGUGAAAUGUUGAUUUCCCCUGAGGUAUUUAAAGUGAUUUGACCCAGUCAUUCUUUUAAAUCACAGACAGGAGAUGAUAAAUGUCCUACUAAUGAGGCCUGUGUAUUUUAUCUCUCACUCUGUCUCACUCCUGCUAGGUACACUCCUCCUGCUAGGUACACUCCUCCUGUAGGGACACAGUCCUCCUGCUAGGUACACUCCUCCUGUAGGGACACAGUCCUCCUGCUAGGUACACUCCUCCUGCUAUGUACACUCCUCCUGCUAAGUACACUCCUCCUGUAGGGACACAGUCCUCCUGCUAGGUACAGUCCUCCUGCUAGGUACACUCCUCCUGUAGGGACACAGUCCUCCUGCUAGGUACAGUCCUCCUGCUAGGUACACUCCUCCUGUAGGGUACACUCCUCCUGUAGGGUACACUCCUCCUGUAGGGUACACUCCUGCUGCUAGGUACACUCUUCCUGCUAGGUACACUCCUCCUGUCAGGUACACAAUCCUCCUGUAGGGUACAGUCCUCCUGUAGGGUACACUCCUCCUGCUAGGUACACUCCUCCUGCUAGGUACACCCCUCCUGUCGGGUACACUCCUCCUGCUAGAUACAGUACCUUCCUCCUGUAGGGUACAUUCCUCCUGUAGGGUACCCUCCUCCUGCUAGAUACAGUACCCUCCUCCUGUAGGGUACAUUCCUCCUGUAGGGUGGUUCUUUCUCUGAAGCUCCUGCUAUGCUGCCUUCAGGUCUUCACAGGCUUCUAAAAAGGUACUGUUAGUCAGGGCUAAAUCCUUGCCGUGCUUUUCAGAGAUCUGGGGGAAAAAAAGCACAUAAUGUAUCCCUUUACAUGCUGGGAGAGAUUGCUCAGAAAAUUAAAAUCAAACACGCAAUCUCAUUGUUCUGCAAAUGCAGCCUUUAAAAGAGCUCCACUAAUCUAAAAAAUUGUCUUCAGAAUUUCAACUGUGUCAGCAUUUGUAGACAUUAUAAUAAUCUUCCUAUAUAUCCAAGGACUGUUUUCUCUUCACCCCCCCCUCUCUCUCUCCCUUGCUCUCUUUCUCUUUCUCUCUCCUCUCCUCUCCUCUCCAUUCAAAAGGUAAGCACUAAGCACUUUGCCUAUACACAUGACAAAGACCAGUUAACAGCAGAGCUCUCAUUAUCAGGAGCAUGGAGAAGUGUGGCUGUGUGUCGCUGUGGAGAAUAAGAAUAUUUUCAGGUGCAGAUGUAGAGCAUCAUUGAUAGGGGGUUCCCCCGCCUUCCUCGUUUACACCAGAGCUCUGAUCAAUCUGUGCUGACAGGGCAGGGGCUUUGUGUGCCACGCGGCAGGGACAAAUGUCUGCCAGGGAGCGGGGACACACCUGAAAGAGAAGAGGAGAAGAGGAGACGAGGAGAAGAGGAGAGGAGUGCCACCCAGCUCUACACACUAGGAUUAGCCCCAUCCUCUGCCUUGAUGGAUUAGCGUGUAGGGAAAUUGCCCGAUUAUUGAGAGGGGUACAAAAGACAGACGAGGGCACGGAGAGGAGACAGAGGGAGCCUGGGCCCUCUACAGAGCAGACACAUUGAGUUGCCCUUCAUGAAAUAUUGUUCAUCAUCAUAUUAACAGGGCUGAAUGUGGGGAGAUAAGGAGUGUUUGAGAAGCAGAAUGUCCCAGCGAGAUAUUUCAAUCCUCCUUAUUCAUUCAUUUAGGUGAGUGAAUGUGAAAUGUAGCAGGACCUUUAUAGACGGAGAGACAGGAGCCCAGAAAUGAUGACAUAAUCACCUCCCAUUUAAUUGCUUGAUUAGUCAAUCUUAUGUCUCUUUCACUCUCUCUCUCUCUCUCUCUCUCUCUCUCUCUCUCUCUCUCUCUCUCCCUCUCACUCUCUUUCACUCUCUCUCUCUCACUCUCUCUCUUUCUCUCUCUCGCUCUCUAUCUCUCUCUAUCACCCUCUCUGUCUCUCUCUCUCUUGGAUCCCAGUGUCUGUCAACUGUCUCCUCCCCACAAAGCUUCCAUGUUCUGUCAGACAGAUUACCCAUUAUGACAGAGGGGGCUGUAGCAUUUGCAUGGUUUUGAAUUAUGUUGAUUUUAUGCG